rnacentral:rRNA from 1 species
AACGAACGCUGGCGGCAUGCCUAACACAUGCAAGUCGAACGCAUGCUUCCGGUCUUGUGGCGCACGGGUGCGUAACGCGCGGGAACCUGUCCCUAGGUUUGGAAUAACUCCCCGGAAGGGGUGCUAUUAUAGGGUAAUUUUCUCGGGCCAAAAAUUUAUCGCCUCUGGAUGGGCCCGCGUUGGAUUAGCUAGUUGGUAGGGUAAAAGCCUACCAAGGCGACGAUCCAUAGCUGGUCUGAGAGGAUGAUCAGCCACACUGGGACUGAGACACGGCCCAGACUCCUACGGGAGGCAGCAGUGGGGAAUAUUGGACAAUGGGCGAAAGCCUGAUCCAGCCAUGCCGCGUGAGUGAUGAAGGCCUUAGGGUUGUAAAGCUCUUUUACCCGGGAUGAUAAUGACAGUACCCGGAGAAGAAGCUCCGGCUAACUCCGUG